rnacentral:rRNA from 1 species
ACACCGGCAGCUCAAGUGGUAGCCGCUUUUAUUGGGCCUAAAGCGUCCGUAGCCGGUCUGAUAAGUCUCUGGUGAAAUCCCACAGCUUAACUGUGGGAAUUGCUGGAGAUACUAUCAUGACUCGAGGUCGGGAGAGGCUGGAGGUACUCCCAGGGUAGGGGUGAAAUCCUGCAAUCCUGGGAGGACCACCUGUGGCGAAGGCGUCCAGCUGGAACGAACCGGACGGUGAGGGACGAAAGCCAGGGGCGCGAACCGGAUUAGAUGCCCGGGUAGUCCUGGCCGUAAACGAUGUGGACUUGGUGUUGGGAUGGCUUCGAGCUGCCCCAGUGCCGAAGGGAAGCUGUUAAGUCCACCGCCUGGGAAGUACGGUCGCAAGACUGAAACUUAAAGGAAUUGGCGGGG